GACGAACGCUGGCGGCGUGCCUAAUACAUGCAAGUUGAGCGCUGAAGGUUGGUACUUGUACCAACUGGAUGAGCAGCGAACGGGUGAGUAACGCGUGGGGAAUCUGCCUUUGAGCGGGGGACAACAUUUGGAAACGAAUGCUAAUACCGCAUAAAAACUUUAAACACAAGUUUUAAGUUUGAAAGAUGCAAUUGCAUCACUCAAAGAUGAUCCCGCGUUGUAUUAGCUAGUUGGUGAGGUAAAGGCUCACCAAGGCGAUGAUACAUAGCCGACCUGGGAGGGUGGUCGGCCACAUUGGGACUGGGACACGGCCCAAACGCCUACGGGAGGCAGCAGUAGGGAAUCUUCGGCAAUGGACGAAAGUCUGACCGAGCAACGCCGCGUGAGUGAAGAAGGUUUUCGGAUCGUAAAACUCUGUUGGUAGAGAAGAACGUUGGUGAGAGUGGAAAGCUCAUCAAGUGACGGUAACUACCCAGAAAGGGACGGCUAACUACGUG
rnacentral:rRNA from 1 species